GCGAAGAUGGCGGAAUUGGUAGACGCGUUAGCUUCAGGUGCUGGUAUCCUUAUGGAUGUGAGGGUUCAAGUCCCUCUCUUCGCA
rnacentral:tRNA from 1 species